GAUCAGGUAGGGAUACCCGCUGAACUUAAGCAUAUCAAUAAGCGGAGGAAAAGAAACCAACAGGGAUUGCCCUAGUAACGGCGAGUGAAGCGGCAACAGCUCAAAUUUGAAAGCUGGCCUUCGGGUCCGCAUUGUAAUUUGUAGAGGAUGCUUUGGGUGAAACGCCAGUCUAAGUUCCUUGGAACAGGACGUCAUAGAGGGUGAGAAUCCCGUAUGUGACUGGAAAUGUUAACCUAUGUAAAGCUCCUUCGACGAGUCGAGUUGUUUGGGAAUGCAGCUCUAAAUGGGAGGUAAAUUUCUUCUAAAGCUAAAUAUUGGCGAGAGACCGAUAGCGCACAAGUAGAGUGAUCGAAAGAUGAAAAGCACUUUGGAAAGAGAGUUAAAAAGCACGUGAAAUUGUUGAAAGGGAAGCGCUUGCAAUCAGACUUGUUUAAACUGUUCGGCCGGUCUUCUGACCGGUUUACUCAGUUUGGACAGGCCAGCAUCAGUUUCGGCGGCCGGAUAAAGGCUCUGGGAAUGUGGCCUUCACUUCGGUGAAGGUGUUAUAGCCCAGGGUGUAAUACGGCCAGCCGGGACUGAGGUCCGCGCUUCGGCUAGGAUGCUGGCGUAAUGGUUGUAAGCGACCCGUCUUGAAACACGGACC
rnacentral:rRNA from 1 species